GUUCAGUAGGUAGAAUGGAUGAAUAGUCAGGAAAAGUAGUUAUCAUUUGUAGUAUAGGAGUUGGUAUCUCGGGAUAGUAUAAGGAGGAUGGGAGAGGGAAAGAAAAUGCCAUCGCUGUGAUAGUUGUGAGGUGGGGUAAGCUUGGUGCUACCUCUUUUCUUUUGUUUGUUAUUUUCUUUGAAUAAGAGGAUUGAAAGUUUCUGAAUAUUGUGAAGUGAAUUAUGGAAUAGAAAUGUGAUUGGUAUUAUUUGAGAAGAAGAAAGAUUGAAUGCUAAAAUCUGAUUAUAAUUCAAAAGAGAAAAUGAGUCUCUAUUUGUGUGAAACACCAUAAUAUGAAUGGUAGUUCUGUGUGAAGAAUUCCAGUGAUUGAAAUGAGGAUAAUUAUGUGUUGAAAGCUGUGAGGGUGCAGUAUUACAAUUAGAGAUUAUGAAGGUGAAUAUAUUGGUGGAAAUAGUAGUUAUUGAUAUGACUGAAUUGCUGUAAAGAAGAGACUGAUAAGGUGAAGGAGGAGAUUAUAGUUUCCUUAUGUGUUCAGAUAUUAGAAAUAGAGACG
rnacentral:lncRNA from 1 species